CCCAGACUCCUACGGGAGGCAGCAGUGAGGAAUAUUGGUCAAUGGGCUUACGCCUGAACCAGCCAAGUCGCGUGAGGGAAGACUGCCCUAUGGGUUGUAAACCUCUUUUGUCAGGGAGCAACGCCGGCUACGUGUAGCCGGACUGAGAGUACCUGAAGAAAAAGCAUCGGCUAACUCCGUGCCAGCAGCCGCGGUAAUACGGAGGAUGCGAGCGUUAUCCGGAUUUAUUGGGUUUAAAGGGUGCGUAGGCGGAAUGCCAAGUCAGCGGUAAAAUCGCGGGGCUCAACCCCAUCCAGCCGUUGAAACUGGGGAUCUAGAGUGUGCGAGAGGUAUGCGGAAUGCGUGGUGUAGCGGUGAAAUGCAUAGAUAUCACGCAGAACUCCGAUUGCGAAGGCAGCAUGCCGGCUCCACACUGACGCUGAGGCACGAAAGCGUGGGUAUCGAACAGGAUUAGAUACCCGUGUAAC
rnacentral:rRNA from 1 species